UGGGGAAUUUUGGACAAUGGGCGAAAGCCUGAUCCAGCAAUGCCGCGUGUGUGAAGAAGGCCUUCGGGUUGUAAAGCACUUUUGUCCGGAAAGAAAUCCUUGGCUCUAAUACAGUCGGGGGAUGACGGUACCGGAAGAAUAAGCACCGGCUAACUACGUGCCAGCAGCCGCGGUAAUACGUAGGGUGCAAGCGUUAAUCGGAAUUACUGGGCGUAAAGCGUGCGCAGGCGGUUUGCUAAGACCGAUGUGAAAUCCCCGGGCUCAACCUGGGAACUGCAUUGGUGACUGGCAGGCUAGAGUAUGGCAGAGGGGGGUAGAAUUCCACGUGUAGCAGUGAAAUGCGUAGAGAUGUGGAGGAAUACCGAUGGCGAAGGCGAGCCCCCUGGGCCAAUACUGACGCUCAUGCACGAAAGCGUGGGGAGCAAACAGGAUUAGAUACCCUGGUAGUCCACGCCCUAAACGAUGUCAACUAGUUGUUGGGGAUUCAUUUCCUUAGUAACGUAGCUAACGCGUGAAGUUGACCGCCUGGGGAGUACGGUCGCAAGAUUAAAACUCAAAUGAAUUGACGGGGUCAU
rnacentral:rRNA from 1 species